rnacentral:ncRNA from 1 species
AAAGAUAUAGUUGAGUUUAAUUUUGAGAAUUAAAUUUAGAAUUUUAUAUUAUAUAAUUUUUUAAAAGUAAUUUUAGUUACUUAAGUUAAAUUAUUUAAAAUUAAUUAAAAUUUGUGCCAGCAAUUGCGGUUAAACAAAAAAUUUAUGUAAAUUAAAAAUAAAUAUAAAUAAUAAGUUAUAUGUUUGUUUAUAUAUUAGUUAUUUUUAAGGUGAAAUUUAAUUAUAAUUAGUCUAUAAGUAUAAUAGAAAUUUUUAAAUUUAUAAAAUAAACUAGGAUUAGAUACCCUAUUAUUGUAAAUAUAAUUAAAAAAUUUGAGUAUUUAAAUUAAAGAUAAGUAAAACUUAAGAAAAUUGGCAGUAUUUUAAUCAAUUUAGAGGAAUCUGUAUUUUAAUAGAUACUCCACUAAUAAAAUUACCUAAAUUAUUUGAAUUUGUAUAUCGUUGUUAUAAAAGUAUACUUAUUAGGUUAAUUAAACUUUAAAAUUCUUAUAAGAAUUUAUAUCAAAUCAAGAUAUAGUUUAUAUGUAGGUUAGUAUGGAUUACAAUUUUUAAUAAAAGUUGAUUUAAAUCUAAAAAUUUUAAAGAGAAUGGAUUUAAAUGUAAAUAAAUUUAAUUUGAUUUAUUGAUUAAUGUUUUAAAAUAUGCACAUAUUGCCCGUCACUUUCAAAGUAUUUAGUUAAUUUAAAUUAAUUAGUAUAUUUGAAAUAAGUCGUAACAAAGUAGAAGUACUGGAAGGUGUUUCUAGAAG